rnacentral:rRNA from 1 species
AGUGAACGCUGGCGGUAGGCCUAACACAUGCAAGUCGAACAGCAGCACAGGAGAGCUUGCUCUCUGGGUGGCGAGUGGCGGACGGGUGAGGAAUACAUCGGAAUCUACUUUUUCGUGGGGGAUAACGUAGGGAAACUUACGCUAAUACCGCAUACGACCUACGGGUGAAAGCAGGGGACCUUCGGGCCUUGCGCGAUUGAAUGAGCCGAUGUCGGAUUAGCUAGUUGGCGGGGGAAAGGCCCACCAAGGCGACGAUCCGUAGCUGGUCUGAGAGGAUGAUCAGCCACACUGGAACUGAGACAGGGUCCAGACUCCUACGGGAGGCAGCAGUGGGGAAUAUUGGACAAUGGGCGCAAGCCUGAUCCAGCCAUACCGCGUGGGUGAAGAAGGCCUUCGGGUUGUAAAGCCCUUUUGUUGGGAAAGAAAUCCAGCUGGCUAAUACCCGGUUGGGAUGACGGUACCCAAAGAAUGAGCACCGGCUAACUUCGUGCCAGCCGCCGCAGUAA